rnacentral:rRNA from 1 species
UGGGGAAUAUUGCACAAUGGGCGAAAGCCUGAUGCAGCAACGCCGCGUGAGUGAUGAAGGCCUUCGGGUUGUAAAGCUCUGUCUUUUGGGACGAUAAUGACGGUACCAAAGGAGGAAGCCACGGCUAACUACGUGCCAGCAGCCGCGGUAAUACGUAGGUGGCAAGCGUUGUCCGGAUUUACUGGGCGUAAAGGAUGCGUAGGCGGAUUUUUAAGUGAGAUGUGAAAUACCCGGGCUUAACUUGGGUGCUGCAUUUCAAACUGGGAAUCUAGAGUGCGGGAGAGGAGAAUGGGAUUCCUAGUGUAGCGGUGAAAUGCGUAGAGAUUAGGAAGAACACCAGUGGCGAAGGCGAUUCUCUGGACCGUAACUGACGCUGAGGCAUGAAAGCGUGGGUAGCAAACAGGAUUAGAUACCCUGGUAGUCCACGCCGUAAACGAUGAGUACUAGGUGUAGGAGGUAUCGACCCCUUCUGUGCCGCAGUUAACACAAUAAGUACUCCGCCUGGGAAGUACGAUCGCAAGAUUAGAACUCAAAGGAAUUGACGGGGUCAUAGCUGUUUCC